AUGCCACGCGCCGGCCGGUUCCUGUUCUGCAUUGCCGCCGUGGCCGCGGUGGUGCUCGUCGUGGUGCCGCCGGCGGGCGUGGCCGGCCACACGAGGGGUGUGCGGCCGGGGCAGGCGGCGGGGCGGCCGUUCCCGGAGAACGCGACGCGGGCGGAGGAACUGGAGCGGCUGUUCAUGCGGUGGGUGCGGUACGUGGGCGGCCUCAAGCACAGCACCUUCCACCACGCGCCGCUGGCCCGCGCGUUCCCGUCCUACUCGCUCAUCGUCAACAAGGACCCCGCGGCCGGCGACUUCACGUCCGUCCAGGCCGCCGUCGACUCGCUCCCGACCAUCAACCUCGUCCGCGUCGUCAUCAAGGUCAACGCCGGCACAUACACGGAGAAGGUGACGAUCUCGUCGAUGCGCGCGUUCAUCACCCUGGAGGGCGCCGGCGCCGACAAGACGAUCGUGCAGUGGGGCGACACGGCGGACACGCCCGCCGGGCCGAGGGGGCGCCCGCUGGGCACGUACGGCUCCGCGUCGUUCGCCGUGAACGCGCAGUACUUCAUCGCCAGGAACAUCACCUUCAAGAACACGGCGCCGGUGCCGAAUGCGGGGGCGACGGGGAAGCAGGCGGUGGCGCUGCGGGUGUCGGCGGACAACGCGGCGUUCGUGGGGUGCCGGUUCCUGGGCGCGCAGGACACGCUCUACGACCAGUCGGGGCGCCACUACUACAAGGACUGCUACAUCGAGGGGUCCAUCGACUUCAUCUUCGGCAACGCGUUCUCCCUCUACGAGGACACGGGGUUCUCGUUCGUCAACUGCAGGGUGACGGGGUCGGGGGCGCUCUACCUGGGCCGGGCCUGGGGCACCUUCUCCCGCGUCGUCUUCGCCUACACCUACAUAGACGACAUCAUCGUCCCGCACGGCUGGUACAACUGGGGCGACCCCAGCCGCGAGCUGACGGUGUACUACGGGCAGUACAAGUGCACCGGGCCCGGCGCGAGCUACUCCGGCAGGGUGUCGUGGUCGCGGGAGCUCACCGACGAGGAGGCCAAGCCCUUCAUCUCGCUCAGCUUCAUCGACGGCACCGAGUGGAUCAGGAUCUGA
rnacentral:rRNA from 1 species